rnacentral:RNase_P_RNA from 1 species
UGAGUAGCACAGAUGGUCGCGCCAUUAUUGGUGAGGAAAGUCCGGGCUUCACAGGGCAGGGUGCCGGAUAACAUCCGGUGGAGGCGACUCCAAGGCUAGUGCAACAGAGAUAUACCGCCAAUUUAUUUGGUAAGGAUGGAAAGGUGGUUUAAGAGACCACCGCCCUUCUGGUAACAGAAGGGGCAAAUGUAAACCCCACCCGAAGCAAAACCGAACAUAAAGCGAUACGGUUGCCCGCCGUGCUUUAGGGUUGGUUGCGUAACAAGAGUGAAAGCUUUUGUUGGAGCCAUAUGGUAACAUAUGGUCAAGAUAGAUGACCAUCUAAUACAGAACCCGGCUUAUAGUGCUGCUCAUACU